CUUGCUCUAUUCUACUGACUUUAAACAUAGUAUGAUAUUUUAGUUGAUUUUUUUAGAUUUUCUAAAUACACAAAUAUUAUCACAAUACAUAAAAGUGAUAAAAGCUAAUUUUGCUUCUUUCUUUAGUUUGAGCUUUAACAUUUUUCUUUUCCUGGCAAUCCUGUCCUUUGAUACUGGGGUACAACAGAGCUAAGCAAUGGGGUAUGGUGGCAUCAAAUUGAUUUAACUGUGGGAUGAAUGGGAUGUAGAACCUGGAAUCCACAUGGGACUGGAGGACAUGGCAUUUGCCCCAAGACCCCAAGGCCUGGAGAUAAAUUGGAAAAUGGGUUGGGCAAGUUCAGAUACUUUGCAAAAAUACUCUGGAUGCAGAAUGGCUUUAGGAAGAGCUGUGAGCAUUUUUCUUGGUGUCUGUUGCAUUGUUGUUUGCACAAUUCUGUCAUCAGACUUUCCAAACCACACUGCAAGCAUUUGUUCAAUUGUCAGACAUUCUUUAAGUUAUCAUCUGCUCAACUGGACAUUGAGCUUCCUGAAGUGAUGCCAUUCUUCUCAGAACCCAGGCAGCAGCUGCUGCCUGACCCAUUCAGUCACUGCUUCCCAAGGGAUUUUAGGGACCUGGUCAAGUAUCCAUGUGUUUUUCCCCAAGUGGAUGGUGUUGCCAGUGAACUUCCAAUGGAUGUGGCAAAUGGAUUUUAACAGACUGAGGGAUGAAAAAAUGAUGUUCAGAGAGAAUAAUUAACAAUCUGAAGAUUCUACAGCUGGAAGUCAAGUCCUCAGAGCCUGGGCUCAUCUCUGUCCUAAUACUGUCCCACUGAAGGGAAGACCACAAGUGUGUCCGUGUUCUAAUGCUUACCAAGGAAUCUUGGGAUAACUGUAGGGAUAGAAAAGAG
rnacentral:lncRNA from 1 species